UACGUAGGGGGCAAGCGUUGUCCGGAUUUAUUGGGCGUAAAGAGCGUGUAGGCGGCUAGAUAGGGUCCGUUUGUGAAAACUCGAGGCUCAACCUCGAGACGCCGGUGGAAACCAUCUAGCUAGAGUCCGGAAGAGGAGAGUGGAAUUCCGACGUGUAGCAGUGAAAUGCGUAGAUAUGUGGAGGAACACCGAUGGCGAAGGCAGCCCCCUGGGUCAAGACUGACGCUCAUGCACGAAAGCGGUGGGGAGCAAACAGG
rnacentral:rRNA from 1 species